ACAAAACGUAACAAAGCAACAAGUUAAAAAUUCUUAUAUCUAAAAUUUGUGAAUUUAUUAUUUCUAAUUGAUUAAAACCUAUUGAACUAUAUAAGAUAGACCCUAAAAUAUCGAUUGUUACAUUACGACGGAGAAUACACGUGAAAGACUAAUGUUCUGAUAGCAUACUCCAUUAAAAGACCGAGUUUGCUGUGAAGAAGUCCGAAUCGUCUCCGCUCCCGUAACAAAA